rnacentral:piRNA from 1 species
UGACCUGGUGUCCGUGUUUCUGCCAGGAC